GGAUUCCGCGCUGAGCCAGGGAAUGGCUUAAGGAAGGCGGGAGACCACCGUUGGGGAAGGCAACCCCCUGGGUUAACAUUGACGGUAAGGAACGAAAGGGUGGGGGCCAACCAGGAUUAGUUACCCUGGUAUUCCACGCCCUAAACCAUGUCAAAUGGGUGUUCGGGAAGCGAUUUUGGGUACCGUAGUUAAGGCGUGAAAUGACCGGCUUGGGGAGUACGCCCGCAAGGUUAAACUUCAAAGGAUUGACGGGGACCCGCACAAGCGGUGGAUGAUGUGGAUUAAUUCGAUGCAACGCGAACAACCUUACNUACCCUGNACAUGUCCGAGAGCCUGCUGAGAGGCGGGUGUGCCCGAAAGGGAAUCGGAACACAGGUGCUGCAUGGCUGUCGUCAGCUCGUGUCGUGAGAUGUUGGGUUAAGUCCCGCAACGAGCGCAACCCUUGUCCCUAGUUGCUACGCAAGGGCACUCUAGGGAGACUGCCGGUGACAAACCGGAGGAAGGUGGGGAUGACGUCAAGUCCUCAUGGCCCUUAUGGGUAGGGCUUCACACGUCAUACAAUGGCCGGUACAGAGGGUUGCCAAAGCGCGAGCUGGAGCCAAUCCCCAUAAAAGCCGGUCGUAGUCCGGAUUGCAGUCUGCAACUCGACUGCAUGAAGUCGGAAUCGCUAGUAAUCGCGGAUCAGCAUGUCGCGGUGAAUACGUUCCCGGGCCUUGUACACACCGCCCGUCACACCACGAAAGUUUGUUGUACCUGAAGUCGUUGACGCCAACCGCAAGGAGGCAGACGCCCACGGUAUGACCGAUGAUUGGGGUGAAGUCGUAACAAGGUAAAUCGAAUUCCCGCGGCC
rnacentral:rRNA from 1 species